GGGUCACAAGGGCGUAGCUAAGGGGUAUAGCGUUCGCUUUGCAAAUCACCGCGGUGGAUUUCGGUCUAUCGUGUUUCGAUCUGCCUGCGAAAGGCCCUGGGUUCAAUUCCCAGCUCGUCCA